rnacentral:rRNA from 1 species
GACGGAGGGUGCUAGCGUUGUUCGGAAUGACUGGGCGUAAAGGGCGCGUAGGCGGCCGCUUGCGUCGGAUGUGAAAGCCCGGGGCUCAACCCCGGAACGGCAUCCGACUACGGGGCGGCUCGAGACCGAGAGAGGUGAGUGGAAUACCCAGUGUAGAGGUGAAAUUCGUAGAUAUUGGGUGGAACACCGGUGGCGAAGGCGGGUCUCUGGGCCGAUACUGACGCUGAGGAGCGAAAGCGUGGGGAGCGAACAGG